CUUAUGCACACUCGAUGACCCCUGACGUCACAAGGCAUUGUUUCGCCGGUGUGACUGGCAACAAAAUACUACAAAUUACGUCAUAGGGUAUGAUCACGUGUUUGAAAAGUUUGUGGCACUGUAUUCUAAACGUAGGCCCAAAAUCUUUGGUGAUUACUAUAGAAGUUUAUUAGACUAUUGUAGGAUAAUCCGAUGCUGUUGCUAAGCCACUUGAACAAAAACACAAUAACGUUUCUCGUGUCUAUUUUCAUUGUACGACACGACUUUUGAGAUAAUACUUUCCUUCAAACAAGUGUUUGAUAUGAACCAAACAUAUAUGUUUAGUGAACUUACAUCAAGGCAAUUCUUACACAUUUAUGUCACUAAAAUCUGAUUCAAUAAUCUUUGUUUAUAAUUUUAGUUAUUGAAAGCAUCAAACAUUAGAAAAGAAUACCAUUACAAAUACAACUGUAAUUAAAUCCUUAUUUUAAAUAGUGGUAAGGGGAAUGGUCUUAACAACAGACCAUCGCUCUAGACUGGUUCCCGUUCGUUCCUGCGACAGACUGGAACGACCGGUAUUGGGCAAAACAACCUUCACCUUGACGUUACGGUAAACUGGUUUAGCGCCUUUGCUGGUUAUAUAGACAGUAACAUAGUCAAGACAAGAUGGCGACUAAUGUGUCGUCUGUCAACAGUAACAUAGAAAUUGCAAAUAUUUUGGAUCGGGCGAACAGGUAUAGAACGGACUAAUGCAAGUAUUUGGGAGGAGGCGCUUUACAUAUUGUCUUGCAUAAUUAUAUAGAUAUGCUACUGCACCUGCGACAGUGAGUUGCAUGACAAUAUAUAUUUAUACACCAAAGUGACCGUGACCCGGUUGUAUCAAACUUUAAUGAUGCAUUAACGUGUCAUUAAACCUUCAUUAACUAAUGCAUCAGUAAAUCCAGUUGUACUAACGUUUUAAUGACGUCGUGGUGUCAUUAGCGCGUCAUUAACUUAAUGAAGGUUCUGGGGCAUCAUUAGCGUGUCAUUAAAAACAAACAUGGCCGCGAACAUAUUGUUUGAACGCUUAGGACGCACAAGGAAAGACCGUGUUUUCAGAAAACGAACUCAACACCUCGAAUCCAUGAGCGAUGAAGAAGUAAGGGCACGCUACCGUUUUGGGAAGGCAAGCAUCGGAUAUAUCUGCGAUCUUGCAAGAUCGCACGCACUUAGUGUUGAACUACAGGUUCUGGUAGCCCUACGUUUCUUUGCAAGUGGAAGUUUCCUGCAAAUCACUGGCGACACAAUAGGGAUAGACAAAUCAACAGCCUCACGAGUUGUGAGGAAAGUUUCCCUUGCCAUUGCGUCUCUUGUGCCCAAGUUUAUUACCUGGCCGUCCGAGAGGGAUAUAGGCGACAUUAGAAAGGAAUUCUACAAUAUAUCUCGAUUUCCUGGAGUCAUCGGAUGUAUCGAUGGGACACAUGUACGGAUACAGGCACCAUCAGACAGCGAACCUGCCUUUGUCAAUAGGAAAGGCUACCAUUCGAUCAACGUUCAAGCAGUGUGUGACAGCCAAGGUAAAUUUACUAACUUAGUGGCGAGAUGGCCAGGCAGUAUGCAUGACAGCCACGUGUUCAAGAUGAGUAACGUGCGGCAACACCUGGAAACACACCAUACGACUCUACAAGACGGCGUUGUUCUCGGUGACAGUGGAUACGCAUGUCGUCCGUAUUUGAUGACUCCGUAUCUAAAGCCAUCUAGCCCCGAGCAAGAGCGAUUCAACUCUUCCCAUAAAAGAACAAGGUCAACCAUAGAAAGAGCAUUUGGGUGGCUCAAACGGCGUUUCCAUGUUCUGCACGGUGAAAUCAGGAUGAGCCCAGAGAGAGUUUGCACCAUCAUUGGUGCUUGUGCUGUGUUGCAUAAUCUGGCGAUAAUUCUUCGUGAACCCAUGCUGGAUGUUGAUGGAGAGGACGACAGUAACAUUGAAGGGCAAUAUACAGGUCCCGAAGAUGGACGGGGCAUCCGUGAUUAUAUCACAAGGCACUAUUUCACUAACUGAAAUGAUCAAACUGUCUCUGCUUUAAUAUAACUGACGUAGCUUGUGUUUCGGGCCGUUUUGCCUUGUAUGGGCGUGGUCCCGUUUGCUACGUCACAAUGGCCAAGAUAGUGGGGGAAUUAACUUGGUAGAGCUGAUUACUCGGCUAUCACCUUUAAAACAGAGAGAAGGCUGCUGAGUCCCUUGAAGUCUUUAUUCGUGGCAGAGUCAAAUUUAAUAUAUAGAGAGAGAUAUUUAAACAAUAUUACAUUACAAGAUAGAUGUAGUCAAUGACUUGUUACAUUAAAUUUAUAAUUGACAACCAUACAUGAAUUGAUAGCGACUGGUUUAAACUUUCUUAACAGGACUGUUCUAAUAAAUAAGGUACAAAAACGAAUUGUGAAUAAUAAGCGACUGGGAGGUAUUUCAUGUUAUACUAGCUACAACAUUUCAUACAGGAACUGUUAACAUUUACAUUUACGGAAUUCUAGCGUUACUCGUGUAUUUACAUACAAAUGUAUUUAACAUAUUGUAUAAUUUCAAUGCCGUAAAUGCUUAACCAAAUGAUAGACUUAGCAUGGCCAAUAUUCGUAUGAGACGGUAUUUACGUGAGAUUACCCGUGGGUAUUUACCACAAUGUACUCUUUCUCAUGCUAUGUAAUGUACGGCUUUAUCUAUCACUUGGCAUAUCAACAGUUAUUGUACAAGUGAACUAAUCUACUGACAUCUAUAUAAACACACACAUACAAUUUAACAUUCAAGUUUCUUUGCGGUAUAACGAAUGACAUAUAACUUAUUCUUAAAUAUUACAAACCAUGGUAAAUAUAAAGUUGCUUGCACAUGAUAUAAUAUAAGUUAAAGGCAAGGAGAAUUGAACAAGAAAAUAAUGUUAUCUUACCUUUAAAACUGAGAGAAGGCUGCUGAGUCCCUUGAAGUCUUUAUUCGUGGCAGAGUGAAGUGUCUGCCACUGGACUCCGUAUAAAUAGGGACUCAGGCCUUCUGUAGAAUGCAUUAGUUACCUAAUAUUGAAACUAUGAUCUAAAUCUGCUACAUGCGUGGCGUAUUAAUUACAAUUAUCCGAGAGUUACGGAGCGCACUGACCGCGUAAUAUCCUUUAUAUUCCACCUAUCUGAUACUAAAAUGACGAUGCGUCCGGCCAAACACAGCAUGUUAUAGCCUGGGGCAUAACCCUAGCCUGGCCACCUGGCUGAGUUACAUAAUCCAGAGUCACUGGUUUGUGACGGUUAGUUACGUGCAUGGCAACUGACUAACAUUAUCUACAGAAAUAUAUUUAGGUUUAGCUAGCUGUAAGAUAAAAUAUUGAGAGAAUUACAAAACAUAUUGAAAUAUGACCACUAUAAUUAUGGGUUAAUUAUAAUGAUUUUAGGACUAUGACAUAACUAUACAGAAGAAUGCAGAGAUACCAUCUGUUGUCACUGAAGAAAAAAGUUGACAGUGUUCGCAGUAUGUAUUUGCCAAUGCGUGCAAAUAUAAAUCUUACAAAUAUUUAACCAAAAUCUUUUGCGUGCACUUUUGUCUUUUCCUGUUGAAUCAAAGGGAUAUAGUUUCCCAGCUUUGUUUAACUAAAAUUUAGAUUACUGCGUAAAUAUUGUCCAGUGUACACAGUGCACAUUUCCCUUCAGAAAAAAUACAGCUAAACGCUACACGGAUACAAUGAGUUUGAAUUUGUUGCACAACGCCAAGACUUCACGGUGAGCAUGUAAGGUUCUUUGUGUAUCUUUAGCAAUGAGUCUAUCACAUUAAUUUUAUUGAAUAUGGUUUACAUAAAUUUCGUCGAAAUCAUGUAUUAACUGAUCGGCUUAUCUCAUCAACUCAUCGUUAUUGACAGCUACAUACGUAAAGAGCACCCAGCAAUCUACCGAAGUGAUACUGUUUGGUUACUUGUAUGUAGUAUAAAGUAGAAGAUGGAUAACAAUUUAUUAGAAGUGUUAGUUAUCUCCCGUUCGUUCAACUGAAGCUAUACAAUAUACAACACAACACAGUAUAGCACACUAUCAAACUAAUUGUAUUUUUUAAUGAACUCUUAGUAACAUUUCAAAGAUGAGGAUGUCGUUUUCAUUCAUGGUGCAUCAAGCUAUCCAACUCCAAUCGGAGCUUCUUGUUCAUGAGUUCAAAGUAAAUGGUUUGUUGAAUGACUUUCUUUUUCUGCUCAAGCAAAACCUCAUACUGCAGUCUGGUGAUGUCAUCCUGUUUGAUCUUUCUCUUGGUGACACGAUUUGAUUUCCCCCCAGUCUGGACCAAAGGCCUGAAAAAAUACAUUGUUUUUGGAUCAUGCGAGUCUCCGUGUGUAUAUACAGUGAAUGUUACGCUAUAUACGCGUGUGUUAAAGGCCAAAAUUAGUAUGAGUGUUUCAAUCUAAGGGAUGGGCGAGUAGAGAAAAGGACUUGGUACUACAUGUUUGUUAGCAUUGCUGCAAGAAGUAAGAUUCCAGUAUUAAUUAACAGGACAUAGUCUUCGAUGGUACUAAUGUCGUCAUGUAAUGCAGAUGCGUCGACAGACAGUUCUCCUUCUGGGUAGAUCUGUGUGCUGGAACAACUGGGCACAGACGCUUCCUGAGUAGGGACAUCGCAAACAUUUUCUUCUAAAGCCUGUGCUAACAGGUGUAAAGUCGAGGGAGAGCCAAUUACAUCGGCGACUUCCGUACCUGCACACACAAAGUUUUUUGCACACUUAUUGAACAUCAGUUAAUAAUAUAAUUAAUAUUUUUACACUGUUAAAACGGGAGAGGCACGGCACAAGGGUUAUUAUCAUUUGUUUUAUUACCAAAGGAAAUGAUACAUUAGAAUUGUAUGAUAUAUUUGUGUGAUGACACGGCCUAUUUUAUGUCUGCAGCCACCUUCAGAAAAAUGACUGCUAUAAUGUGACAUAUUUUUUCAACCAAUUUUCGUUGUCAUAAGAAAAUUCUCUCAUGAAAAGUAUAAAUGCUUCACAUAAAAUUUGCAUUUAGAGACGAAGAAUGUCAAGAUUUGAACUUAACAUCGAAAGACACAACAUGAACUUCUUGGUUUGGAAUAGGGGUAAUGAGAGUUGCCCCCCCUUUCUCUUUCCACAAUGGCUGCCUGUCGGAGAACGGAUGAGAAAUACCAUUACAAAUAGGCCAUUUCAUGCAAGUCAGUGUGUUGUGUCCUUGGACAAGGUUAUUGACUCCGUUCGUCCUGCUGUGAUGUGACUGAAACAGAUGUUUACUGUGAUGUAACUGAAACAGAUGUUUUCUACGGUGUGACUGAAACAGCUGUUUACUGUGAUGUGACUGAAACAGCUGUUUACUAUGAUGUGACUGAAACAACUAUUUAUUGUGAUGUGACUGAAACAGCUGUAUACUGUGAUGUGACUGAAACAACUAUUUAUUGUGAUGUAACUGAAACAGCUAUUUUCUACGAUGUGACUGAAACAGCUGUUUACUGCGAUGUGACUGAAACAGCUGUUUACUGUGAUGUGACGGAAACAGCUAUUUACUGUGAUGUGACUGAAACAGCUCUUUACUGCGAUGUGACUGAAACAGCUGUUUACUGUGAUGUGACGGAAACAGCUAUUUACUGUGAUGUGACUGAAACAGCUGUUUACUGUGAUGUGACUGAAACAGCUAUUUACUGUGAUGUGACUGAAACAGCGGUUUUCUACGAUGUGACUGAAACAGCUGUUUACUGCGAUGUGACUGAAACAGCUGUUUACUGUGAUGUGACGGAAACAGCUGUUUUCUGCGAUGUGACUGAAACAGCUGUUUACUGCGAUGUGACUGAAACAGCUGUUUACUGCGAUGUGACUGAAACAGCUGUUUACUGCGAUGUUACUGAAACAGCUGUUUACUGCGAUGUGACUGAAACGGCUGUUUACUGCGAUGUGACUGAAACGGCUGUUUACUGCGAUGUGACUGAAACAGCUGUUUACUGUGAUGUGACGGAAACAGCUAUUUACUGUGAUGUGACUGAAACAGCGGUUUUCUACGAUGUGACUGAAACAGCGGUUUUCUACGAUGUGACUGAAACAGCUGUUUACUGCGAUGUGACUGAAACAGCUGUUUUCUGCGAUGUGACUGAAACAGCUGUUUACUGCGAUGUGACUGAAACAGCUGUUUUCUGCGAGGUGACUGAAACAGCUGUUUACUGCGAGGUGACUGAAACAGCUUUUUACUGCGAUGUGUCUGAAACAGCUAUUUACUGUGAUGUGACUGAAACAGCUGUUUACUGUGAUGUGAACUUCCCAUUAAAGCCCCAUUUACCUUCA
rnacentral:misc_RNA from 1 species